rnacentral:rRNA from 1 species
ACCCCGUGAACCUUUACUAUAGCUUGACACUGAACAUUGAGCCUUGAUGUGUAGGAUAGGUGGGAGGCUUUGAAGCGUGGACGCCAGUCUGCGUGGAGCCGACCUUGAAAUACCACCCUUUAAUGUUUGAUGUUCUAACGUGGACCCGUGAUCCGGGUUGCGGACAGUGUCUGGUGGGUAGUUUGACUGGGGCGGUCUCCUCCUAAAGAGUAACGGAGGAGCACGAAGGUUGGCUAAUCCUGGUCGGACAUCAGGAGGUUAGUGCAAUGGCAUAAGCCAGCUUGACUGCGAGCGUGACGGCGCGAGCAGGUGCGAAAGCAGGUCAUAGUGAUCCGGUGGUUCUGAAUGGAAGGGCCAUCGCUCAACGGAUAAAAGGUACUCCGGGGAUAACAGGCUGAUACCGCCCAAGAGUUCAUAUCGACGGCGGUGUUUGGCACCUCGAUGUCGGCUCAUCACAUCCUGGGGCUGAAGUAGGUCCCAAGGGUAUGGCUGUUCGCCAUUUAAAGUGGUACGCGAGCUGGGUUUAGAACGUCGUGAGACAGUUCGGUCCCUAUCUGCCGUGGGCGCUGGAGAACUGAGGGGGGCUGCUCCUAGUACGAGAGGACCGGAGUGGACGCAUCACUGGUGUUCGGGUUGUCAUGCCAAUGGCACUGCCCGGUAGCUAAAUGCGGAAGAGAUAAGUGCUGAAAGCAUCUAAGCACGAAACUUGCCCCGAGAUGAGUUCUCCCUGAGACUUAGAGUCUCCUGAAGGAACGUUGAAGACGACGACGUUGAUAGGCCGGGUGUGUAAGUGCAGCGAUGCGUUGAGCUAACCGGUACUAAUGAACCGUGAGGCUUAACCUUACAACGCCGAAG